UCGGGAAUUUUGGGCAAUGGGCGAAAGCCUGACCCAGCAACGCCGCGUGAAGGAUGAAGUAUUUCGGUAUGUAAACUUCGAAAGAAUAGGAAGAAUAAAUGACGGUACUAUUUAUAAGGUCCGGCUAACUACGUGCCAGCAGCCGCGGUAAUACGUAGGGACCAAGCGUUGUUCGGAUUUACUGGGCGUAAAGGGCGCGUAGGCGGCAAUUCAAGUCAUCUGUGAAAUCUCCGGGCUUAACUCGGAACGGUCAGAUGAUACUGCUUUGCUAGAGCGCAGAAGGGGCAAUCGGAAUUCUUGGUGUAGCGGUGAAAUGCGUAGAUAUCAAGAGGAACACCUGAGGUGAAGACGGGUUGCUGGGCUGACACUGACGCUGAGGCGCGAAAGCCAGGGGAGCAAACGGGAUUAGAUACCCCCGUAGUCCCUGAGCGGGCUGGCAAGGCGCAU
rnacentral:rRNA from 1 species